rnacentral:rRNA from 1 species
GAUGAACGCUGGCGGCGUGCCUAAUACAUGCAAGUCGAGCGAACAGACGAGGAGCUUGCUCCUCUGACGUUAGCGGCGGACGGGUGAGUAACACGUGGAUAACCUACCUAUAAGACUGGGAUAACUUCGGGAAACCGGAGCUAAUACCGGAUAAUAUAUUGAACCGCAUGGUUCAAUAGUGAAAGACGGUUUUGCUGUCACUUAUUGAUGGAUCCGCGCCGCAUUAGCUAGUUGGUAAGGUAACGGCUUACCAAGGCAACGAUGCGUAGCCGACCUGAGAGGGUGAUCGGCCACACUGGAACUGAGACACGGUUCAGACUCCUACGGGAGGCAGCAGUAGGGAAUCUUCCGCAAUGGGCGAAAGCCUGACGGAGCAACGCCGCGUGAGUGAUGAAGGUCUUCGGAUCGUAAAACUCUGUUAUUAGGGAAGAACAAAUGUGUAAGUAACUAUGCACGUCUUGACGGUACCUAAUCAGAAAGCCACGGCUAACUACGUG